ensembl:lncRNA
GAAGACAAUAUUCGUUAGCAGCAGGAGGAGAUGGAGCGGCGAAGACAGGAGGAGCAACGAAGACGACAGCAGGAGGAGAUGGAGCGGCGAAGACAGGAGGAGCAACGAAGACGACAGCAGGAGGAGAUGGAGCGGCGAAGACAGGAGGAGCAACGAAGGCGACAGCAGGAGGAGAUGGAGCGGCGAAUACAGGAGGAGCAACGAAGACAACAGCAGGAGGAGAGGAGGCGCCAGGAACAACUGGAGAGGGAGAGGGCGAUCCAGCAAGAAAUCGAAAGGGAGAGCGAACUUUUGGGUAAGAAGAUGUCAAAGGGACGAGAAAAGCUGAGACAGAAGCUGAGACUAAAAGGACAACAGCGCCAUCACCAGCGUACACAGGUACUACACCAGAUGAUAGAAGAUGACGCUGCAGCAAUCAGAAGGGAUGAGCCAUGGGACUUGAAAAAUAAGUUUGAAGAUCUUCUGAAGAAAUACGAGAUCACUGAAGACAAAGGCAUGCAGGAGGACAAACUUGAAAACAGAAUGAAAACUCUUCAGAAUGAACUAACCCUUAAAUACUUUGGAGAGCCUCAACUGUCAAUCUGGUGUCAGUUGACCAUAGAUCGUGCUAUCAGCCAAGGAGAGCAAUCGCUCACUGAGCAGUUUAGCAUCCUCACGGCUGUGACAGAGCUAACGUUGACCAAUGACUCGGACACAGACAGUAAAGAGGACCAACUACUUGACUGGGACCAGAAGUGUGACUUUCUCAUCCGUCUUCUUGAACAGCUGUACAGCACAAAUCCCACAGUGGCUCAACAACUUGUUCUGAGCAUUCUUGAUGUGUUCACAGAGGUGUCAGAGAAAAACAAGGGGCUCCUUAGUCAAAUUCUCUUCAACAUGAUCUGGACACCUGCAGAAAUUCUGCUCUUUUUGCGAGGUGUUUCAGGCAUAAACCAAGAGUUAGCAACCUCAAUCCUUCAUACUGUGAGGACAAACAAGCUGGAUCUUCUCUCUACUCUCUCUGCCUUGAAAGGUAAAGACCCUGUCAACUCUCUACAAUGGUAUGCUGAGGCAGAAGGGAACAAGGAUGCCGACACCAUUGUGAAUGAAAUGCAAAAUGAAAAGUACCCAGAGAAAAUAUUGUCCAUAAUGAAGGAAAUUCUAGGAUAUAUGACAGAGGAACUUCCAAAACAUGCAAAGGAGGACUUGGAUCAGGUAAAGAUAGAGGAAGCAAAGCAGAUGAUCAAGUCACUGGAUUUUACUAACCCUGACCUUGCUGUUCUCAAGGAGGUCCUAAUAAGGAUGUCUAUUGCUGUGCAAGACUGCUCAACCAUUUACACUCAAAACGGUAAAAACAUAGAAGGCUACUUUCCUAGCAUCACUCCGCUGGAAUCACUGCACACUGCUGAGAAAAUAGAAGGCUACUUUCCCCGACUCACUCAGUUGGCAUCACUGCUCAUGCUCCUUCUACCAAAGUUAACAGGGAAAAAAGGUAUCCUUCUGGAAAUCGGCACAGGUGAAGGAAAAUCUUGCAUCUUGGCUAUGUUUGCCACCAUCCAGGCCAUCCGUGGCACUAAGGUUGACGUUGUGACCAGUUCUCCAGUCCUUGCUCGCCGAGACCAAGAGGAGUGGAAGAAACUGUAUGACAUGUUUGGUGUCACAUCCUCUGUUGUGCCACCACCACAGAUACAGGGAAGCUCCCCUGAAAGCAGGGAUAGUAUGCUACAGGAGGCUUACAGGAAACAAUUAGUUUACGGAACCGUUGCCAGCUUUGCAGCAGACGCAUUGAGGCAGGAAUUCGAGAAGGACACCACACGUGGGGAGAGGAGGUUCGACAUGGUGAUUGUGGAUGAAGUGGACUACAUGACCUUGGACAAUGGAGUUCAGGUGACGUUUCUAUCCCACGAGGCAAGUGGCCUGAGGCACCUCGGACAAGUCCUUGCUAGCAUAUGGGCCAUGGUAUCUAUGUGUCAGCCAAUUGAGAUGGAAGAUACUGGAGAGAUUGAGUGGGCAACUGGAAUCCAGCAUUUUCACAAGGCUGCAAAGUUAGCUGUUAUCGGUCCAGCGACAUCUAAAGAAUUCUCUGAAUUUCACAUUUUGGAAGCCGGAGUGGAGUUGGGUAUCUAUUCAGAUGAAGAUUUUGAUAUGUUCAUGCAUGCUCUAGAGAACACAGAGAAUGACGAUACAACGGAGAACAGGAUAACUGUUGAUACAUUCUUGGCCAAAGUUGGAAUUACUCAACAGUGUGAUCUGCUCACCAUCAUGGAGAAAGCACUGGAGAAUGAUGUGGCCAUUGACUGUUACUCUGUGACAAACAAUAAAGCCGUGCUGGUUGAGGAGAAAAAGUUGCACAACAACCCUGAUAUCCUGGAAAUCAAAAUGCUUCUCCUCGAGAAUGGACGAGCCAGCGAGAUCAUACCUGAAGACAAACUCAUUAAGGCAACAGUCUCUGAGCUGAAGUCUAAAAUCAAAUAUUCUGGCAGCUCUCAGUCAAACUCAGAGUUUCUUGUGAUCCCCUCUUUCCUUGAGAAGUACCUUGAGAAUCAGUUACCAGUCUUUGUGGAAAACGCCCUGAAAGCCAUCAUGAUGACACAAGGCAGAGAGUACAUGAUUGAUCAGACCUUGGAAGCUGUCGGAGACAAGCAUCACUACCAUGCUAUCAUCCCAGUGGACUUCCAGGCCAGUGGAGUGUUGGAGAAGAACAAACGCUGGGGGGACGGCCUGCAGCAGUUUCUGGAGAUGAAACACCAGCUGGCAACCACUACUUUGUCCAAUGUGACUAAUUACCUUUCAAACUUCCAUUACUUUCAAAAGUACCUGAAAGGGAAUGGGAUAUUUGGUGUGUCUGGGACAUUAGGGGGUGAUGCCGACAAAGAUUUCCUUGCAAGGCAUUAUGAAACAGACAGCUACAUAAUACCAGCUCAUCGCCAUAAGAAGGUUGUUGAGCUUCCAGCAAUUCAGGUCAAUGGGCAAGCCCAGUGGAUGGAGAUCCUCUGUAAGACAGCAAUGAGGGUGGCAGAAAGUGGUCAGGUUGUCUUGGUCAUGUGAAGAUGUCAAGACUGCAAACAAGCUUCUGAAGAAAAUAGAGAGCGAGAAUCCACAUCCCCCCAUCACAUUAUACACAAUCAGUGAGAAACACAACAUUGAGAGAACCAAAUUCAGAGGGGGACAUGUAAUCAUAGCCACAAAUCUAGGAGGUCGUGGAACUGAUAUCAAGGUUGAUCAGGAUGUCAACAUACGUGGUGGCCUCUUCGUCCUCCUGACACAUUACCCUGGCAGUCGCAGAGUGGAGAAACAGGUGUUUGGAAGAACUGGUCGGAAGGGAAACCCGGGCAUGGCCCAGAUGAUCCUCUGUGGGGAUAACCUUGCCCCAGCAUACCAGGGCCAGCCUGUGGAGAUCAUGAGACAAUUGAGAGAGGAGUACGAAGUCCAACGCAUCAAAGAUAUGGAGACAGAUGAGCUUCUCGAAAUAAAAAUGAAAGAGGAUCUGUUUGGCACGUUUUGUGAAUUUCUUGACAAGUUUCAUGGCAACUUCUCAAAACAGGAGAAAGAUGACCUGUCAGGAAUGGGGCCGAAUGAUGUCCCUGAGUGUUUUAAAGAAAAAGGCUCUAAGUUUGAUUACCAGCCUGCCCUCAAUGCUUUGAAAGAAACAUGGUCAUUGUGGCUUACCCUUCACGAGGAGCACAUCCGUCAGCACGAAGAUAUCAGUGUUCUUAAAGCAGACCUUCUUGAGCAUAUCACAAAUAGGGGCAACAUGCUGCUGAAUGGAAAAAGUCAAAACUUCUAUGACCACAUUAAGCAGGCUAUCGGCAGAACAGACUUGCACCUCCGCAACAAAAGUAAGUGUGACUAUGAAGCAAAGUCCUACUGGAAAGAUGUUGAAGAAUGUGACCCUUUUUACAGUGCCGUGGCAAUGUACAACCAAGCUUUCAUCACCAUAAACAUGGGAAAAGAUGGCUACAAAACAGAGGCACGGAAAUUACUGGAAAGGGCAAAGACAUCUGUGGAUGUUUACUUGUCAGAAACCACAAAUACCAUGGUUUCUUUUCAGAUUGCCACAAGAGGCAACUUUGAACCACAUCAUGAAGGAGAAUGCAACUUUCUAAAGCAAAUAGAUUCCAGGAUGAGCAUUCACCAAGCUUGGAUACGUAACAUUGACCUUGCAGUAAAUAAACUUAAAGAGCUUGAGGGUGAAGGCACAGCCAUAACAGAGGUAUCCUCAGUGUACAGCCUCUCAGAAAAUCAAGACUACAUCACAGGAAAUGAACUCACGGCCUUGUAUGACAAUGGCCUGAGCAUUGUGUUUGAGGUGAAAAAGAAGCCAGAGUUCAGCUUUGACGCUUUGAUCUGUUUCUUCAUCGGUAUGUGUCAGGUCAUCCUUGGAGUUCUGGUUUGUGCCCUGUCGUUUGGCUCUGCAACCCAGAUUGGCUUAAGUAUCAUCUCUGAAGGAGUCUCUGACAUGAUUGAAGGGAUAUCUGGCAUGAUAUCAGGCACAUUCGAUUGGGUACAAUGGGCCAUCUCCAAAAGCAUCAGCAUUGGGAUGUCUCUGCUCUCCGCAGGGUUCAACGCCAUUAAAAAAGUUGUCACCACAGCAUAUAAAGUCCUCAAUGGUACUUUGAAACUCUCAUCUGUUGCAAAGGAAAUCAUUGGCACAGGAAAACAUGUUUUCAAGUCCACACAGAAAGCAGCAAAGUAUGCAAUUAAGACAGCAACGAAGAAACUGGCAUCCCCUACAAACAUGAAGAUGGCUCUAAAACACGCAACCAAGUACGCACUUCAGGAGGUAGGGAAGCAGGGUGUAAUCACAGGAAUAAACUAUGCCAUUGAUGCUGGAAUUGGGGCCAUCUUUAAAACAAUUUUAGAAAAAGCUUUCAAAGACAUGGUCAAUUCAACAGUCAAAAAGAAUGCCGAACUAGAUCUUAGUCUCACUGAAUACAUUAGCUCUGCAGUACCUAAAGGAGCUUUGCAGAACCGCAGCAACUAUAAGAUUGACUCAAAGCUUGAACAACAAACAAAAGAUUUAGUUCAAGUUAUGACAAAAGAACUUAUUCCUGGCCUCAUGACUGAUGCCACCACAUCCCAAGUCAGUGAUGUUAUCAGCAGACUCUCUGAGGUGUGCAAUAAUGCAACUGACCUUGUGGCAAAAAGUGGAAAACAUUUGAUUGCAAAAGGAGUCAAAAUAAGUGUAGAAAUAGCUAAACACACCACAAUCUUGGUCCAAAUGAUUCGGUCUAUUCCUACAGAACAUGUUAUCAAUGACAUAUUUGUCCUCAAAUUAAAAAAAGAAAUUGAAGAGCAGCAAAGAUAUGUGGGGCAGUAUGAUCAAGAUGGCAGACAUGAUUUACCAGAUGUGAUUCGCCUAAAGGAUGAGCUCCUAAGCUCCAUUUCGGAAAGUGUCUCCGAAGCGUUCAUAGAUGCUUGUGCUGGUCAUAUGUCCUCUUUUGUGACGGGAACAUUCAAGAAGAAGCUCAAUGGAGUUACUGGAAAGGUUGUUGACAAUGUACUUGGCAGACACAAAACUGAGGCCUUUUUCCAGGACCGGCAGCAUAAACAUGAUAUGAAGUCAGCCAGUCAGAAGGCUGGGAAAGCUCUGUCAGAGACUGAAACAAAAGAACUUCUGGACUAUGCAGAGAAGAUUGGUGAUGUUAAUCGACCAGCCUCGGCCCUGGACAUUUAUGUCCUCACAAACAGUGACCUGCUCCAUGGUAAAGGCAUCCAGUUCAAAGUGGUGGAUCAAGAUGGGAAAACGCUCUCAGAGGAGUCCUACCCGGGAACGAACAGCUCAGCCGGCCAAAUCACUCUACGGCUGACCAAAGAGCCUGAGAAAACACACAGUGAGAAAGGAAUCCUCUCUAAAGCAAAAGACAGAAUCCAAGGAGUGGAAAGUCCAUACAGUGGUCACUUUGACAUCAUCCAAGAUGGGAAAGUAAUCCCUGUGCGCUCAGAGAACAAGAACUGCCUGUACCAUGCCCUAGCACAGGCAACAUCUAACAGGUCUGAGGAUGAGAUCACGAGUCAAGCUGUGAAUCUACGAAACAAUGUUAAAGACCAGAUUAAAGGGAGCCUUCAGGCUUAUAGUGAAAUGGUUCAAACCCAGAAGGCCUAUGAUGCACUCGAGAAAAAUCAUGGAAAAUAUGCUAUAGUUGGAGGGGCCAGGAAUAGAAAACGGACGAAUGAUGGGGAAUAUGAACAUGAUAUCAGGCCCAUGAAGAAUUGUCCUUAUAGUUCCUCAGGGAUAAAUGAGUAUGACAUAGCCUUUACGUACCACCUUGGAUUAGUUGGUCCUAACAAAAGCGUCAAAAACACCAAACUUUUCUCUGACAACAUGGGGGAAAGAGGCAUUGUGGAGGCAGACCAUAUCCCACCAAAGAAUUCCCUGAAGCUGGCCAGAGACCAAAAAUCUGAGAUGAAAAAUCUUCAACAGAAGAAUCCGAAGCUUUAUGAUAUGAUAAACAGCAUUGAAUCAGAUCAAAAUGGAGGGAACCUGCUCACAAUGCGGGUUCUCAAACAGCAUCACAGGAAUGCUCUAACCACUGGAAGGAGUAAGACAUCUGUCAUCUGCAGGAAGCUGCUGGCGGAUACACUUGCAAGCGGAGAUGUGGAGAAAUUACUGAAGUUAUCUUUCAUCAUGGCUCAUCCAAUUGCUUCCGACCAGCUCAGAGACAAAGCAGGAACGGUGUUCUACUAUAAAGCUGGCUUCAAUCAGAUGCUGAAUCACCAUAGUAAAGAGGGGAUCAUCGACGAGAAUCAGCAGGCGAGGCUGAAGUCCUGGGUGUCCGAUAAGAAGUACAUGGACCCGGACACCCCAGAGUACAACAACAUCCUUGCAGCCAUCCAGUAACACAACCUCCACUGGAGACAUGUUAGUAAAGGGAUAAAAUCAUACUUUUAUAUUCAGCAUAAGAAUAUCAUGAAUUCAGUAUAAUCAUAAGGUGAAUCAUUUCUUGUUGAACCUUAGGUGAAUGACAAUUUGACCUUUCUACUGCUGCAUAAUUACUAUACUUUUUUUGUUUGUGCUUCCACAAGGUAGCCUAUGGCUUUUCAAAAUAGAUACAGUAACUUAUGUGCAAGGUGCAUGAGAUGUAAGCUUGCUAAAACAACUAUAGGUUCUUUACAGUAAACUGUAAAUUGACUUUUGAUUUUGUUUCAUUCAGUACUGUAUGCUAUACUGGGUGCCAAAGUUCAUUUCUCAAUGUCAUAAUAUUUACUGAUGUCAUAAUAUUUAAUGUUUGUAGUUUCUUAGUGUUGAAUAAUAUAGCCUACUUUCCAUUUUAGUGUAAUGAUCAUGAUAACCUUUUAAAAUCAAAUCAGAAUGUAUUUGUCGCAUGUGCAGAAUACAGUGAAAUGCUUACCCACAAGCCCUUAACCAACAAUGCAGUUUUAAGAAAAAAGAAAGAAAGAAAGAAAUAUUACAAAUAAUUAAGGAGCAAUAAUAAAAUAACAGUAGCGAGACUAUGUAUUUUAUGCUCAUCAUCAGUGGUUUCACAGUCAAAUCAUGGUCUCAUUGGCAGUGUUUAUCAUGUAUUGGAUUUCUUUACUAUUGGAUUAUGGAUGAUUUUAUAUUUACUCAAUCCAAGGUGGUGUUUUAAGCCAUUUGAAUAAAUGUUUGCAUUCUCAAAAAUAUUAUCUGUAUUUGAAACUAUUGAUAAUAAACUGAUUUAAUUUGCAAGACUACUAGCAAUGUG